UAAGAGGUCCCACCUGCCCGGUGACACCAAUUUAACGGCCGCGGUAUCCUGACCGUGCGAAGGUAGCGUAAUCAUUUGUCUUUUAAAUGGGGACUUGUAUGAAUGGUAUAACGAGGGCUUAACUGUCUCCUCCCUCUUGUCAAUGAAAUUGAUCUCCCCGUGCAGAAGCGGGGAUACUCUCAUAAGACGAGAAGACCCUAUGGAGCUUUAGAUACUAAGGUAGACCAUAUUCCAUAACCCCUUGUUAAAGGAGUAAAUCUAUGCUAAUCCUACCCCUAUAUCUUCGGUUGGGGCGACAAUGGGGAAAUAAAAAUCCCCCAUGCGGAACGGGAAAAUUUUAUCUAAGAAAUUAUUCUUACCAUAAAGCUACUUCCCCAAAUUAAGAGUGACAACUCUAAAUUACAGUAUUUCUGACCAUAAAUGAUCCGGCAUUUGCCGAUUAACGGACCAAGUUACCCUAGGGAUAACAGCGCAAUCCCCUUUUAGAGCCCACAUCAACAAGGGGGUUUACGACCUCGAUGUUGGAUCAGGACAUCCUAUUGGUGCAGCCGCUAUUAAGGGUUCGUUUGUUCAACG
rnacentral:rRNA from 1 species